rnacentral:rRNA from 1 species
GAUGAACGCUAGCGACAGGCUUAACACAUGCAAGUCGAGGGGCAGCGGGGUAGGCAAUACCGCCGGCGACCGGCGCACGGUGAGUAACACGUAUCCAACCUUCCGGUUACUCGGGGAGUAGCCUUUCGUAAAGGAAGAUUAAUACCCGACUAGCAUAAGAUUUCCGUCAUGGUUUUCUUAUUUAAAGAUUCAUCGGUAACCGAUGGGGAUGCGUUCCAUUAGGUAGUAGGCGGGGUAACGGCCCACCUAGCCGACGAUGGAUAGGGGUUCUGAGAGGAAGGUCCCCACCAUUGGAACUGAGACACGGUCCAAACUCCUACGGGAGGCAGCAGUGAGGAAUAUUGGUCAAUGGGCGAGAGCCUGAACCAGCCAAGUAGCGUGAAGGAUGACUGCCCUAUGGGUUGUAAACUUCUUUUAUACGGGAAUAACACGCGGCACGUGUGCCGCUCUGCAUGUACCGUAUGAAUAAGCAUC